UACGUAGGGUGCAAGCGUUGUCCGGAAUUAUUGGGCGUAAAGAGCUCGUAGGCGGUCUGUCGCGUCGGCUGUGAAAACUCGGGGCUCAACCCCGAGCCUGCAGUCGAUACGGGCAGACUAGAGUGCUGUAGGGGAGACUGGAAUUCCUGGUGUAGCGGUGGAAUGCGCAGAUAUCAGGAGGAACACCGGUGGCGAAGGCGGGUCUCUGGGCAGUAACUGACGCUGGAGGAGCGAAAGCUAGGGGAGCAAACAGG
rnacentral:rRNA from 1 species